rnacentral:rRNA from 1 species
GAUGAACGCUGGCGGCGUGCCUAAUACAUGCAAGUCGAGCGAACGGACGAGAAGCUUGCUUCUCUGAUGUUAGCGGCGGACGGGUGAGUAACACGUGGAUAACCUACCUAUAAGACUGGGAUAACUUCGGGAAACCGUAGCUAAUACCGGAUAAUAUUUUGAACCGCAUGGUUCAAAAGUGAAAGACGGUCUUGCUGUCACUUAUAGAUGGAUCCGCGCUGCAUUAGCUAGUUGGUAAGGUAACGGCUUACCAAGGCGACGAUGCAUAGCCGACCUGAGAGGGUGAUCGGCCACACUGGAACUGAGACACGGUCCAGACUCCUACGGGAGGCAGCAGUAGGGAAUCUUCCGCAAUGGGCGAAAGCCUGACGGAGCAACGCCGCGUGAGUGAUGAAGGUCUUCGGAUCGUAAAACUCUGUUAUUAGGGAAGAACAUAUGUGUAAGUAACUGUGCACAUCUUGACGGUACCUAAUCAGAAAGCCACGGCUAACUACGUGCCAGCAGCCGCGGUAAUACGUAGGUGGCAAGCGUUAUCCGGAAUUAUUGGGCGUAAAGCGCGCGUAGGCGGUUUUUUAAGUCUGAUGUGAAAGCCCACGGCUCAACCGUGGAGGGUCAUUGGAAACUGGAAAACUUGAGUGCAGAAGAGGAAAGUGGAAUUCCAUGUGUAGCGGUGAAAUGCGCAGAGAUAUGGAGGAACACCAGUGGCGAAGGCGACUUUCUGGUCUGUAACUGACGCUGAUGUGCGAAAGCGUGGGGAUCAAACAGGAUUAGAUACCCUGGUAGUCCACGCCGUAAACGAUGAGUGCUAAGUGUUAGGGGGUUUCCGCCCCUUAGUGCUGCAGCUAACGCAUUAAGCACUCCGCCUGGGGAGUACGACCGCAAGGUUGAAACCCAAAGGAAUUGACGGGGACCCGCACAAGCGGUGGAGCAUGUGGUUUAAUUCGAAGCAACGCGAAGAACCUUACCAAAUCUUGACAUCCUUUGACAACUCUAGAGAUAGAGCCUUCCCCUUCGGGGGACAAAGUGACAGGUGGUGCAUGGUUGUCGUCAGCUCGUGUCGUGAGAUGUUGGGUUAAGUCCCGCAACGAGCGCAACCCUUAAGCUUAGUUGCCAUCAUUAAGUUGGGCACUCUAAGUUGACUGCCGGUGACAAACCGGAGGAAGGUGGGGAUGACGUCAAAUCAUCAUGCCCCUUAUGAUUUGGGCUACACACGUGCUACAAUGGACAAUACAAAGGGCAGCGAAACCGCGAGGUCAAGCAAGUCCCAUAAAGUUGUUCUCAGUUCGGAUUGUAGUCUGCAACUCGACUACAUGAAGCUGGAAUCGCUAGUAAUCGUAGAUCAGCAUGCUACGGUGAAUACGUUCCCGGGUCU